GACGUAGGGCGCAAGCGUUGUCCGGAUUUAUUGGGCGUAAAGAGCUCGUAGGCGGCCUGUCGCGUCGACCGUGAAAACCCGCAGCUCAACUGCGGGCUUGCGGUCGAUACGGGCAGGCUCGAGUUCGGUAGGGGAGACUGGAAUUCCUGGUGUAGCGGUGAAAUGCGCAGAUAUCAGGAGGAACACCGGUGGCGAAGGCGGGUCUCUGGGCCGAUACUGACGCUGAGGAGCGAAAGCGUGGGGAGCGAACAGG
rnacentral:rRNA from 1 species